GUUAGAGUCAAUCAUAGCAGCAUAAACACAUAGCAUCAGGCAGAGAUGAGAAUUCAUAUUUUGAUCCACAGGCAAGAGGUAGCUAGCAAUAUGGGCAUGGUCAGAAGAUGUUAAAACCUGAAAAUGUACCCAUGUGACAGACCUCUUGCAAAAGGGCCACACGUAUGCUCUCUGUCCCAAAGAACUCCACAAACUAAACGUAAGUUUUCAAACAUAUGAGUCUAUGGGAACCACUCUCAUUUAACUACUACAAGUUUUUUCAGAAGUAAAAACUAUUUUUAUCUGACCACACUGUACUAUAUCCUUAAGACAGCCAUUAUGUUUUCAACAUACAGUGUUAUAAUAGAAGCACACCUUACCAGAAAAAAAUCAGAGGAUAGGAAAGAAUAAACAGACCAAACAAGACCAAAAUUCAGCAGGGAAAACACCAAAACUUAUAGCUUUUUGUUCAGCAAUUUGAGAUUAUGAUGAAAUUGCCCUGACUCUAAUGUCUUAGGUAGUCCUACUCCUCUAGCUGUGUCACCUCCUGCAUACAUAGUUUCCUUUUAAAAAAUUUUUAAAAGAUUUAUUUUUUACUUAUAUGUAAGUACACUGUAGCUGUCUUCAGACACACCAGUAGAGGAUAUCACAUGUCAUUAUAGAAGGUUGUAAGCCACUAUGUGGUUGUUGGGAUUUGAACUCAAGACCUUCAAGAGAACAGUCAGUGUUCUUAACUGCUGAGCCAUCUUCCAGCCCCUACAUAGCUUCUUUCCUACAAACACCACUAUAUUCUUCAUGCUGCUGUCCUCAAAGCUGGUCGUUGGAUUGAAUCUUUUGUGUAUAGUAUUCUCUUUCAUUCUAUUGAAAGUGGGUUAGUGGACUGCAAGGAUCCUUCAGUUCUUUUUUUGCCAUUUUUAAAAAUUUUUAUUUAAUUAUUUUAUGUAAAUGAGUACACCAUAGUGGUCUUCCGACACAGGAAAAGAGAGCAUUGGAUCCCAUUUCUGAUGGUUGGGAGGCACAAUGUGGUUGCUGGGAAUUGAAUUCAGUAUGUCUGUAAGAUCAGCUAGUGCUCUUAAGCACUGGGCCAUCUCUCCAGCCCACAAAUGCCAUUUUAACAUUUAAAAUCUAUAUUU
rnacentral:lncRNA from 1 species